GUCCACACCCUGUCAAUAAUCGAGAUUUUAUCCUUAAUAAAUUUGGUUGCUUCUUCCAAAUAGCUAAGCAACCCUGUUAUAUUAUCAGUAUUGUGAUCAGGUGCACCUAACAAGACCCGGUGCAACUGCAGGUAUCAACACACCGACGUUUUGUGCUAACAACUUGUGUGACUUUCAUUGAAGUAUUUCAUUUGAUAAAAUUCAGUGCUAGCAUAUAAGCUAGAUAAUAACUAACAAAAUAAUUGUUUAUUGAGAGGUGUACAAUUUUGGUCAGCUUUAUGUUAUUUUAUGUUAUACUGAUCAGAGAGAAGAUUCUAUCAUUUCCAUUCUACUUGAAUCUUGUUUUCAGUAAGGAAAGUAAGUUGGAUAGGUCACAUUAUGAGUGAUCUGGCCAGGCUCUUCCAGAUUGUCUAUCACAAGACUUGUACAGCGCUGCUCAUCCUAUGGAAAACUGUAAAGGAAGCCAAGACUCUGAAACUCUGGAAAAGUCUUGUUUGCACCCUGUGGACAACUUAUGGUCAAUUAUCUGUGGAUGAACCUUGGUGCUUGACCUCUGGAUGAGCCUUUUUGUAUGUGGUCUGUGGACAAGCCUUGGUACAUGGCCUGUGGAAAAGCCUUCUGACUUGGCCCUAAGAAAAGCUGUGGUACGUGGGUGUGGACAAGUCUUGGUUGUGGGAAAUCGGCAAAUUAUUUUGUUCUUGCAUCCCAUUCAGCACCUUGCAGAGGACGUGGCUCAGACAAAGGACAAGUUUUAUCAAAGUCAAAAGAAUGUUGGACGAGAUCGCUUGCUCGUGGAAAGACUUAAAGAGUUGUACUAAUAAAUGUCUGGGGCCAGGAAACCCAUAAUGUUUCAACCCAAAUACUUUGGACAUCGUCAGAUCUGUCAAGGCCGGAGAGGUUUUCCUCGAGGUUGCCGAAGCGAGUGGUUUGAAUUGAAUUUGAGAACGAAGAGGGAUGGAUGAAUGAAUGUCAUUUUGUCACGACUUUUCUCAAGAGUUAAUAGAGGGAACUGGUUAUGAAAGCCGGCGAACUUCAAACGAUAAGAACAAUUGGAGCCCUCUGAGGUUGAAGGGUUCCCUCUAUAAACUCUGGUAUACGGUUUCUUUGAUAUUGGCUUUUCUCCAAGACAGCGAUAUGGGAUGAAAAAAUCUUGAAAUCAAGUACUGUAACGGAUGAAAGAGGAAAGGAUGACAUCCAUAAAGACUGGUGCAAGAACCAAACAAAAAAAGGGUGUGAUCCAAGUGAAAUUCAGAUGUAGCUCAUUUUUCUCAAGAAUACAGCGAGGUAGAGCCAAGUUAUUCGUUAAAAUCGACGACUUGAGGCUAGACGUAAGCGAAUGUGAUUUCGC
rnacentral:lncRNA from 1 species